AUUGAACGCUGGCGGCAGGCCUAACACAUGCAAGUCGAGCGAGCGGAGGACGGGUGAGAAAUGUAUGGGGACUGCCCGAUAGAGGGGGAAAACUACUGGAAACGGGAGCUAAAAUAGCAUAUGCUAGGCUAACACAUAUGGGAUUAGCUAGAAGGUGAGGUAAUGGCUCACAUAGGCGACGAUCCCUAGCGGGUCUGAGAGGAUGAUCAGCCACACUGGAACUUAGACACGGCCCAGACUCCUACGGAGGCAGCAGUGGGGAAUAUUGCACAAUGGGCGCAAGCCUGAUGCAGCCAUGCCGCGUGUAUGAAGAAGGCCCUAGGGUUGUAAAGUACUUUCAGUCGGGAGGCGUUACCGACAGAAGAAGCACCGGCUAACUCCGUGCCAGCAGCCGCGGUAAUUC
rnacentral:rRNA from 1 species